rnacentral:rRNA from 1 species
CAUGCAUGUGUAAGUAUAAAUAGUUAACUUUGAAACUGCGAAUGGCUCAUUAUAUCAGUUAUAGUUUAUUUGAUGAAGAAUACUAAUUGGAUAACCGUAGUAAUUCUAGAGCUAAUACAUGUAUAAAGUCUUGUAGACUGCAUUUAUUAGAAUGAAAACCAUAGGUUUCGGCCUAUUCGUGAGUAAUAAUAACUAAUCAUAUCGUAUGCUUAUGUAACGAUGUGUCUUUCAAGUUUCUGCCCUAUCAGCUUUCGAUGGUAGUGUAUUGGACUACCAUG